CAGUAGCCGCGGGAAUACGUAGGUGGCAAGCGUUAAUCAGAAUUACUGGGCGUAAAGCGUGCGCAGGUGGUUGUGUAAGACAGGUGUGAAAUCCCCGGGCUUAACCUGGGAACUGCGCUUGUGACUGCACAGCUAGAGUAUGGCAGAGGGGGGUGGAAUUCCACGUGUAGCAGUGAAAUGCGUAGAGGUGUGGAGGAACACCGAUGGCGAAGGCAGCCCCCUGGGCCAAUACUGACGCUCAUGCGCGAAAGCGUGGGGAGCAAACAGGAUUAGAUACCCCCGUAGUCCCUGUCUCUUAUAC
rnacentral:rRNA from 1 species